rnacentral:rRNA from 1 species
CCUCGCCGGAAGACCAAGGGUUCCUGUCCAACGUUAAUCGGGGCAGGGUAAGUCGACCCCUAAGGCGAGGCCGAAAGGCGUAGUCGAUGGGAAACGGGUUAAUAUUCCCGUACUUCUUACAAUUGCGAUGGGGGGACGGAGAAGGCUAGGUGGGCCUGGCGACGGUUGUCCAGGUUCAAGUGCGUAGGCUUAAGAGUUAGGUAAAUCCGGCUCUUUUUAAGGCUGAGACACGACGUCGAGCAUCUACGGAUGUUAGGUAAAUCCGGCUCUUUUUAAGGCUGAGACACGACGUCGAGCCACUACGGUG